GGAGAAUUAGCUCAGCUGGGAGAGCGUCUGCCUUACAAGCAGGAUGUCGGGGGUUCGAGCCCCUCAUUCUCCA
rfam:Aerococcus viridans ATCC 11563 = CCTG 4311 strain ATCC 11563 contig00149, whole genome shotgun sequence.